rnacentral:rRNA from 1 species
GAUGAACGCUGGCGGCGUGCCUAAUACAUGCAAGUCGAACGCAUAGCGAAAGGUGCUUGCACCUUUCAAGUGAGUGGCGAACGAGUGAGUAACACGUGGACAACCUGCCUCAAGGCAGGGGAUAACAUUUGGGAACAGAUGCUAAUACCGAAUAAAACUUAGUGUCGCAUGACCCAAAGUUAAAAGGCGCUUCUGCGUCACCUAGAGAUGGAUCCGCGGUGAAUUAGUAAGUUGGUGGGGUAAAGGCAUACCAAGACAAGGAGGGAUAGCCGAUGUCAACGCGACAACGCACAGAUUGGGUGUGAGACAGAGCCGAAACUCUGAGAGGGGGACGCAGUAGAGAAUCUUACGCAAGGGGGGAGAGCGGAAUGGUGGAACGCGGCGGGUGUGAUGAAGGCGUCCGGGUGGUAAAGCACUGUUGGCUGGGAAGAAGAGCUGGAAUAGGAAAUGAGUAGAGAUUGACGGUACCAGAAGAGAAAGCGACGGCUAACUACGUG